UACGUAGGGCGCAAGCGUUGUCCGGAAUUAUUGGGCGUAAAGAGCUCGUAGGCGGCCUGUUGCGUCCGCUGUGAAAUCCCGGGGCUCAACCCCGGGCCUGCAGUGGAUACGGGCUGGCUGGAGGCAGGCAGGGGAGAACGGAAUUCCUGGUGUAGCGGUGAAAUGCGCAGAUAUCAGGAGGAACACCGGUGGCGAAGGCGGAUCUCUGGGCCUUGCCUGACGCUGAGGCGCGAAAGCGUGGGGAGCAAACAGG
rnacentral:rRNA from 1 species